CCUACGGGAGGCAGCAGUGAGGAAUAUUGGUCAAUGGGCGAGAGCCUGAACCAGCCAAGUCGCGUGAGGGAGUACUGCCCUAUGGGUUGUAAACCUCUUUUGUCGGGGAGCAAAAGCCGGACGUGUCCGGCUGUGAGAGUACCCGAAGAAAAAGCAUCGGCUAACUCCGUGCCAGCAGCCGCGGUAAUACGGAGGAUGCGAGCGUUAUCCGGAGUUAUUGGGUUUAAAGGGUGCGCAGGCGGAUUUUUAAGUCAGCGGUAAAAUCGUGGGGCUCAACCCCAUCCAGCCGUUGAAACUGGGGAUCUAGAGUGUGCGAGAGGUAUGCGGAAUGCGUGGUGUAGCGGUGAAAUGCAUAGAUAUCACGCAGAACCCCGAUUGCGAAGGCAGCAUACCGGUGCACAACUGACGCUCAGGCACGAAAGCGUGGGUAUCGAACAGGAUUAGAUACCCGAGUAGUC
rnacentral:rRNA from 1 species